rnacentral:rRNA from 1 species
AUUGAACGCUGGCGGCAGGCCUAACACAUGCAAGUCGCACGAGUGGCGGACGGGUGCGUAAUGUCUGGGAAACUGCCCGAUGGAGGGGGCUAACUACUGGAAACGGUAGCUCAUACCGCAUACCCUCGGAUGUGCCCCGAUGGGAUUAGCGUGUAGGUGUGGUAACGGCUCACCUAGGCGACGAUCCCUAGCUGGUCUGAGAGGAUGACCAGACACACUGGAACGGAGACACGGUCCAGACUCCUACGGGAGGCAGCAGUGGGGAAUAUUGCACAAGGGGCGCAAGCCUGAUGCAGCCAUGCCGCGUGUAUGAAGAAGGCCGUCGGGUUGUAAAGUACUUUCAGCGGGGAGGCGUUACCCGCAGAAGAAGCACCGGCUAACUCCGUGCCAGCAGCCGCGGUAAUUC